AAUAAUAACAAAAACAUAACAAAAACAACAGCAAAAUCAACAACAACAAACGGGCGGCCGCGCCUUUGCAUUUGACUUUAGUUCGUUUUGCAGUCGUCGACGUCGUCGUCGUCUCUCGUUUCGUUUCGUUUUGUUCUUUUGCCUCUCGCAUUAGAACGCGCGCUGCCACAGUCGCUGCUGGCGUCGCUGCCACAGUGCCCGUCGACGGUCUUAUUGGGUUUAAGCGAAUUUCAAAUUCGCCCGAACUUUUAUUCAACGUGUUGGUUUCGUCGCGUGAGCAACUCUGAAACUGAAAAGAAGAAAGAAAAAUAUCUAUCUAUCUAUAAAAAAAAAAAACACAAAAGAAGCAAAAACAUUUACUUAGAGUCCCCGAAAAUAAAAACACUGAAUAUACCAAUACCAACAACUACCCGUAACCGUAACCGUAACCGUACCCGUAACCGUGACAGUUAACCGUUAACCGUUAGUCGUAAUCGUAACCAUAACCGUAACCGUAAUCGUAGUCGUAGCUAUAACCCUCAUUCGCGUCUAUAUCGUGCGUUCCGUUGGUGUUUCGAAAAUAUAUUUAAUUUUUUUUUUUUUGGAUUCGACUUCCAGCAGCUACAGAAAGCUAUAUCGACAAGCUGUAUCUGUCCAAAUUAGAGAAACAGAUAUAUAUGUAUAUAUAUGUAUAUCCAUAGUUAUAUGUCUGCCUGGAUCGUAUAGAUCGUACUAUAUUUUUUUUGAAGUGUUACAAACCACCAAGUGCUACCAAAAAUGCCUUACUACAGCGUUACGCUUUAGUGUCCCAAGUGCUACUUACCGUUAUAUGCGAGCGACCAGUGUUGGCUAACGACACGCACACACACGCGCGCAUCAACAGACAAUCAACAUUAGCCAACACACGCCACAGUUGUGCUUUAUCAAGUGCUGCCGCAACUUCUUCUUCUUCGUCUGCAUCUUCUUCCGGCACUUCAGCUGCAAUAACAGCCAAACUCUUGUGUCUUGCGUGCACUUUACGAGCGAGCGUGCGCGAUUCGUGUUGGUCGUCGGUUGCUGUCUCGGAUGUCGCUGAUAUUGUGGAUGUGGAUGUGGAUGUCGACCGAUGCCGGUGGCCAAAACAUUCAGUUGAACACAACGCUGUGAGCAACACACGCUGGAAGCGCCGAUGGAACCGCGUCGCGACGCAGCGGCAACGGCAGCAGCGGCAGCGACAACAACAGCAACAACAACAAUAUUUGCACAGCAACAAUCAAACAAGUCAGCUAAAAAGCAAAAACAUUUUAUUAACAACAAUUUGUGAUAACCGAGAGAGACAACAACAACAACA